ensembl:Y_RNA Y_RNA Y RNA
GGCUGGUCCAAAGGUAGUGAGUUAUCUCAAUUGAUUGUUCACAGUCAGUUACAGAUUGAACUCCCUGUUCUACUCUUUACCCCCUUCUCACUACUGCACUUGACUAGUCUAAA